GGGAGCUUAGAUGUGGAAGCUCUUUGGAAACCAAGAAACACUCUGCAAAUGAAAAGGGUGGAAGAGUAAACUGUUCCUGUUUCUCCAUCUUGACAGGAAGCAGAAGUUCUCCUUAGCUGAUUUUUCUUCUUGCCUUAUACUGGGUUCUUUAACACCAGAACAAAAAUAAAUAAAUAAAAGAAUCUUCCAGAAAUUCAUGAAGAGACUUCAGGUCAGGAAAGCCUGAACUUUCUCAUCCAACACCUGUUCAAGUCGGAGGAUGCUGAUUAAUUCAUGAUGGAAAGGUAUCAAUUUCACAGCCCAGACCUCUACAUUCUUGAAAUGCUCUUCUCAUGGGAGACAUUAAAUAAGCUUUGAAUUAACUAAAAAUAUCCAACCCAGGCAGGAUAACACUGAUCAUCCUGAGGAUAUUGCCCUUGGAGUUAAUUUUUUGAGAGAAAUAAAACAAGAAACAUCAUAAGACACAAACCCCAAGCAACUGAUCUCACUGUCAAAAUCCAACCUGAGAACAAUGGAAUGGACCAUACAGUCUUUGUCACAACUCUGCCAUUGCAGCGUGAAAGCAUCCAUAGAUGGUACACAAAUGCAUGGAUGUAGUUGUACUCCAGUACAACUGCAAAAAGCAGACAGCUGGCUGGGUUUAGCCUAUGGGCCAUAGUUUACACAACUCAAUCUAGGUGAUUGCCUGGUAACUUUGUGAUUGUAAACAGGAAA
rnacentral:antisense_RNA from 1 species